CCUUCGCGCUACGGAAUGAUGCAACCAGGUGG
rnacentral:scRNA from 1 species